CCCGCCCCGCCGGGUUCCGCGCUGCGCCCGGGUCCGAGGGGCGCCCCGGCCGACCCGACCACCGCCGCAGAUCGAAGGAGGGAGCCCGGCCUCCUCACCGGUCAGCGGGGCGACUCCGGACGGGGCUCCGGGCUAUGGGGACGGCGGGUUCCGCCGCGCGAGGCGCCCCCACCUUCGCCGCCCCCGGCCCGGCCGAGGGUCCCCAGGCGCCCGCUUCCUGAGGCCGCCCGGCUCGCGGUCCCGAAGGGUUGACUUGAGCUUUUGCCCUGAGAUGAAGGGAGCACGGGGCGGCCGAGGCUGCCCGUGGGGGUCUGUUCGGGCCGGGGGCGCCACGAAGUCCUGCCUAAGGGUCGGCUGCGGCCACCGGGGCACGAGUUCCCGGCGCUGCCCACGGGCUCGGAGACCGGCGGGGCCCAGGGGCCGUGCGCGCGGUCGCUCAGACCCUGAUUAGGGAACUGGGGGAAGGAGGGGGGUCGGGACCCACCGAGGCCCGAAGUCGCCCCCACCAUCCUGUGGGAACAACAUCCUCAGGCACAGCCAUUCCCAACCAUUCACAUCCUCAGAAAAAGGAUGUAGGGCCUGGACUGUUGGCUCCCUGCUACCCCCACCCACAGGACAGUGCUGGGGUUGACCCGACUUUGGCUGCACAUUUGACUGGCCCCUGGAUCAGCUCUAGGACUAGAUGUACCCAAAAGGAUGCCCACAUCCUUGCCUCAGCUCCUGCCUCUGCCCACCCAGAGAGCUGCCUUGCCCCCAUGUCCACGAUGCAGCCACCAGGCCUGGGUAAGCGUGGGUGUCCGAGACGGGCUGGGACACCCAGAAGAGGAGCCAGGACUUGCUUGGUCUGUAUCCCGGCUCUGCAUGCCUCAGUGUCCCUGCCUGUAAAGUGGGAUCUAUGGGAACCCAUGUGUGGGCCGGGCACAGUGCUCACACCUGUGAACCCAGCACCUUGGGAGGCCAAAGGGAGGAUCCUUUGAGCUCGGGAGACAGGGUCUCGCUCUGUUGCCCAGGCUGUAGUUCAGCGGCGUGAUCUCAGCUCACUGCAGCCUCCGCCUCCCAGGUUCAAGCGAUUCUCCUGCCUCAGCUUCCUGAGUAACUGGGAUUACAGGCACUUGCCACCAUGCCCAGCUAAUUUUGUAUUUUUAGUAGAGAUGGGGUUUUGCCAUGUUGGCCAGGCUGGUCUCAAACUCCUGACCUCAAGUGAUCUGCCUGCCUCGGCCUCCCAAAGUGCUGUGAUUACAGGUGUGAGUCAUCAUGCCUGGCCAAAAAAAAUUUUUUUAAAUUAACCGGGUGUGAUGGCACAUGCCUGUGGUCCCAGCUACCUGAGGCCAAGGUGGGAAGAUCACUUGAACACAGCACUUCGAGGCCACAGUGAACUAUGAUCGCGCCACUGCACUCCAGCCUGGGUGACAGAGCAAGACCCUGUCUCCAAAAAAAACCCUCUAAACCUAUGUGUUAUGGAUAGGGCCUCUAAGAAGGUAAUUAAAGUUACGUGAGUCCUAAGGGUGGGACCCUGAACUGUUGUCCUUAAAAGAAGAGGAAGAGACACCAGGAGUGAGCACACAGAGGAGAGGCCACAUGAGGACGCAGGGAGAGGGUGCCGUCUGCAAGCCAUGGAGAGGCCUCAGGAGGAACCCACCCUGCCGGCAGCCUGAUCCCUGACAUCCAGACUCCGGAAGUGAGAAAAUAAAUGUCGUUUAAGCCGCCCAGGCUGUGGUGUUGAGUUAUGCGGCCCUAGCAGGUCAUUUGUCACGUCAUGGGUAUCUGGACCUGGAAUCGUGUGCUGGCCCAAGUCAGCAGCAUGGCACC
rnacentral:lncRNA from 1 species